rnacentral:lncRNA from 1 species
CUCUCCCACUGGAUCCCACCCAUCGAGCGCCCGAGGUUCAUUGCCGUCGUCUACUUGGGAGCUACACUCAGCACCUCGAUGACGCUUCCUCUGUGCGGCGUGAUCAUCGAGGCGCACGGGUGGGCGGCGGCCUUCUACGUGACGGGCGCGCUGUCCCUCGCCUGGUGCGCCCUCUGGUUUUUCUUCAUGUACGACACGCCCAGGCAGCAUCCCAGGAUCUCCGAUCGGGAGCUGCGGUACAUCGAGGGCGCCGUGACGAGGGCGGGCACGAGCCGUCGCCGUGCC